UACGUAGGAGACGAGCGUUGUCCGGAAUUACUGGGCGUAAAGCGCGUGUAGGCGGAUGGGCAAGUCUGCUGUGAAAGCUCCUGGCCUAACCGGGAGUGGUCGGUGGAAACUGCCAAUCUGGAGGACGGUAGAGGUAGGUAGAAUUCCCGGUGUAGUGGUGAAAUGCGUAGAGAUCGGGAGGAAUACCUGUGGCGAAGGCGGCCUACUGGGCCGGACCUGACGCUGAGACGCGAAGGCGUGGGGAGCGAACGGG
rnacentral:rRNA from 1 species